ACACAAAAACCCUAUGUUAAGACAGUCAAUGAGGGAGUAAACGUUAAAUUGUAAAAAUAUAUUAUUAAUAUUUUUUGAGUUCCAUUAGAACGAGAAUUUACCCAACCCUUCGGGUAAGGAAUUACAGCAAUAAAAAAUGUCUAACUCAUUAAACAUAUAACAUUCAUAUUUUGAGUACAGAAUUAUUUUUUUAUCUAAACAUUGUAUACAUGUACAUGUAGAGAUGGGGACGCCACAGUGAUUCUCCUUGACUUUUGAAAGCCAGAGCUUCUGUCGCUCCUCUUCCUGAGUCCUCGUAGUCUCCACAGAGACAGUAAAGUAGUCUCCUGUCUCAUUCAGUCCUUGGUGCCACUCUAGCUGGAGGUGGAGCUUGACAGGCAGCACAUCAGAAACAAUCUGUUAACAACAGCUUUUAAACUCUUGAUUGUUGCUGCAUUACAACAUCUGCUUGUUUCAGUAUUAGCUAUGCAGCUCUUCAUGUUAGUGGUUUUAUUCACCGGGUUUAUUGGGUACAGUUAUCAGCAAACCAUCCACUCAAUCCAGGACAGUCCAGUCCAGGCUCUACAAGGAGACGGCGUGACUCUCUCCUGCAACUACUCUUCAGCAACAAACCUCUUCUGGUAUCGGCAGUACCCCAACUCACCUCCCCAGUUCCUUAUCAAAGAUUACAUGGAGCUAUCUGGAUUUACCUUGAAAAAGGAGAGUGAUAAACAAAUGUUCCAUCUGGAGAUCUCCUCUGCUGCAGUGACAGACUCUGCUCUGUACUACUGUGCUCAGCAGCCCACAGUGACAGGAAACACAGACUCCCUGUACAAAAACCUGCUGAGCACAAAACACACGUCCAUCUCCCCCUGUGACCCAAUCAAUGACAUUUCUGACUUUACACAUGAAUUCAUCGCAAUAUUUAUAGUCUGAUUAAUUAUACAUGUUUACCAUUUUUCAAUUUUAUUGAAAAAUGGUUCAAUAGUGUGUUAUAUUUCUAGCUUUUAUCCACAUGGCUCAUUCAAUUAAAAACCGUCUAUGUUUCAACAGUUACUCUUCUUAAAGUGAACAUGUAGGUGAGUUCUCUUAUCCACCCCUAGAGGUCAGU